rnacentral:rRNA from 1 species
GACGAACGCUGGCGGCGUGCUUAACACAUGCAAGUCGUACGGUAAGGCCCUUUCGGGGGUACACGAGUGGCGAACGGGUGAGUAACACGUGAGUAACCUGCCCACAACUUUGGGAUAACGCUAGGAAACUGGUGCUAAUACUGGAUAUGUGCUCCUGCUGCAUGGUGGGGGUUGGAAAGCUCCGGCGGUUGUGGAUGGACUCGCGGCCUAUCAGCUUGUUGGUGGGGUAGUGGCCUACCAAGGCGGCGACGGGUAGCCGGCCUGGGAGGGUGACCGGCCACAUUGGGACUGAGAUACGGCCCAGACUCCUACGGGAGGCAGCAGUGGGGAAUAUUGCACAAUGGGCGCAAGCCUGAUGCAGCAACGCCGCGUGCGGGAUGACGGCCUUCGGGUUGGAAACCGCUUUCAGCAGGGACGAAGCUUUUUGUGACGGUACCUGCAGAAGAAGCACCGGCUAACUACGUG